GAUUCUGAAAAUUAACUGGAUGCCAAUUCAGUAGAUAUUCAGUGCAUGGUUGUAUAUCCUAGUUGUGAGUCCUCCUAGUUCUUCUACGAGCCACUGCCACAGCAUGGCAACUGACAGACGGGUGAUGUGGUUCCACGACCAGGAAGCCAACCCAGGCUGCUGAAGAGGCACUGUGCCAGGCUUUGUAGGAUGAAAAGAAGUCAGAGGGAGGGGCCUUUGGACCAAGUCCUCACUGACUCAAAGCCCGGGAGGCAGAGGAAGCUCACCAUCUUCUUCAUCAGCCUUUCGUCCAUAAAAGGUCCUUUUGAUUUACUACCAAGAAGCCAUCUCUGGACCACAGAGGCAAGAUUUCAAAAAUUCUUCCCCAGUUCCUGACUAAAGAUGCCCAAAGAGACUUCUAAGCCAAUGACCUUCAAAGAGGGAAUGGAAUUCUUGGCUUUGAAGAGAAGGGCUUGAUGGUUGGGUGGUUUGUUAUGUCUUAAAUGUGAAAUGGGAGAGUUGUCCCACAUGGGCAGCGUGUGAUGGGUCUGUGGACUGAGGGCUUGUGAGUGACUGGGCGUCUGCACAGCUUGGCUUCAUAUUGG
rnacentral:lncRNA from 1 species